rnacentral:rRNA from 1 species
CUGCUGCCUUCCGUAGGAGUUUGGGCCGUGUCUCAGUCCCAAUGUGGCCGUUCACCCUCUCAGGCCGGCUACUGAUCGUCGCCUUGGUGGGCCGUUACCUCACCAACCAGCUAAUCAGACGCGGGUCCAUCUCAUACCACCAAAGUUUUUCACACAAAACCAUGCGAUUCCGUGCGCUUAUGCGGUAUUAGCAGUCAUUUCUAACUGUUAUCCCCCUGUAUGAGGCAGGUUACCCACGCGUUACUCACCCGUCCGCCA